rnacentral:rRNA from 2 species
GGAGCCGACCUUGAAAUACCACCCUUUAAUGUUUGAUGUUCUAACGUGGACCCGUGAUCCGGGUUGCGGACAGUGUCUGGUGGGUAGUUUGACUGGGGCGGUCUCCUCCUAAAGAGUAACGGAGGAGCACGAAGGUUGGCUAAUCCUGGUCGGACAUCAGGAGGUUAGUGCAAUGGCAUAAGCCAGCUUGACUGCGAGCGUGACGGCGCGAGCAGGUGCGAAAGCAGGUCAUAGUGAUCCGGUGGUUCUGAAUGGAAGGGCCAUCGCUCAACGGAUAAAAGGUACUCCGGGGAUAACAGGCUGAUACCGCCCAAGAGUUCAUAUCGACGGCGGUGUUUGGCACCUCGAUGUCGGCUCAUCACAUCCUGGGGCUGAAGUAGGUCCCAAGGGUAUGGCUGUUCGCCAUUUAAAGUGGUACGCGAGCUGGGUUUAGAACGUCGUGAGACAGUUCGGUCCCUAUCUGCCGUGGGCGCUGGAGAACUGAGGGGGGCUGCUCCUAGUACGAGAGGACCGGAGUGGACGCAUCACUGGUGUUCGGGUUGUCAUGCCAAUGGCACUGCCCGGUAGCUAAAUGCGGAAGAGAUAAGUGCUGAAAGCAUCUAAGCACGAAACUUGCCCCGAGAUGAGUUCUCCCUGAGACUUUAGGUCUCCUGAAGGAACGUUGAAGACGACGACGUUGAUAGGCCGGGUGUGUAAGCGCAGCGAUGCGUUGAGCUAACCGGUACUAAUGAACCGUGAGGCUUAACCUUACA